rnacentral:misc_RNA from 1 species
GAUGAAGAACGUAGCGAAAUGCGAUAAGUAAUGUGAAUUGCAGAAUUCCGUGAAUCAUCGAAUCUUUGAACGCACAUUGCGCCCGCGAGUAUUCUCGCGGGCAUGCCUGUCCGAGCGUCAUUUCAACCCUCAGGGCCCGCCUGCUUGCAGGCGCGGCGCUGGCGUUGGGGAUCGGCCCUAACCGGUCGUCCCCCAAAUACAGUGGCGGUCUCGCUGCAGCCUCCCCUGCGUAGUAGCAACACUCGCAUGCGGAGCGCGGCGCGGCCACGCCGUAAAACCCCCGACUUUCUGAACGUUGACCUCGGAUCAGGUAGGAAUACCCGCUGAACUUAAGCAUAUCAAUAAGCGGAGGA